UGGAUGGAAGCCAAUUAGGCACCUAGCUGUUAAUUAGACUUCUGCAGCUCUUUUGCUGCCCAUUCAG
rnacentral:tRNA from 1 species